rnacentral:lncRNA from 1 species
UACUUUAUUGUAGUUUGUCGUUCCAGGCUUUUCAGAAAUUGAGAUUAAAAAAUAUAAACACAAUAGAUGGCUAAGGUCAUGAAGGGGGCAUCUGUGUUUUAGCUUGAAGCAAAGGGCAUCUUGGCUCAAUUGACACAGCCUGGAUAUUAGAAACCAAAGAUGUUAUCUGCAGCCUCCACAGCCUUCUUUUUGGCGUCUGGGUUCAUCUUGUCAAUGACCUCCUUGCGCGGCUUAAACUUGCGGAAGCUGAAUUCUGCAAAUAGAACAAAAGGACUGUACAGUUUUCAGUGGUUUACAUUUAGACACCUCACCUCCAGUGAUGCCAUUGGAAUCCUCCUGAUGGAACAGAAUACGGUUGCUAUCAGACCAAGCAACGAGUUUGAUGCGGUACACCUGUACUGAAAAACAUGAGCUGUGACCGAAAUACAAAGGGCAGCCUGGGCACAAACCUUGAAGUACGGGUUUUGCAUAUCAGGGUACCUUAGGACCCCGAUGUCAAUUAUGGUCUUCUCGUGGUGCUCAUGCUUGGCAAAGAAAGUUUCAAAGCUGUUAAUGGUCGCCCCUGACUGAGCAACAAAGAACUUCAAUGUCAAUCUUGGUUGAUUUCAGGACGUCCUCAUCUGCAAUGAGAUUCACAAACCAGGUCUGAACCUGUGACGAGAGAAGGCCGCAACGGUUACUAGAGCUCUUCUAUAAUACAUAACUUCUAUUACCGCUUUCACAAUAGCUGCAUCCGGUGACCCGUCAAACUUGAAAUCGCCAGAGCUUUUGUUGAGAAACUUGUCAGCUCUGCUAAUCCCAUCGCCCAUUGGCUCAACCAGGGGAUUUUGCAUGAACAUGGAGUUGACCUUCUCCCAAGUUCGCUCUUUCGGUGCCACUUUGGCUAGAAGGUCUGUGGUUCCCGAGAUGCAAACUUUGAGAACCUCAUCCAUCUUCUUCACUGUUUCUGCAUUCAAUGCCCCAAACGAUGGUGCCAGGUUGGUUUGGAGGUAGUCCUCAGCACUCUUGGAACGCACAUCAAUCUGGAGCAUUCCACAAGGAGUUAAACACUGCUUUGGGCAAGACAGGUUCAACUUUACCUUGCUGAAAUCAAAAUUCGCCACAAUGUCACCAAUCUCCUUGAAUGAACCGAAGGCUCCCUGGAUUGUCGCCAUGGUUGCCAUUGCAAUUCACCUUCAGAAGAGGUAUGUACACCAGAAGAGGUAUGUACACUCAAUUUUUAUAGGGGUAAAUGAGUUAGUUUAGUGCAGGAAACAUAUUUAAACCAAAAUGAAGUAUAGCUUGACUCAUCGCGUCAUACAUAUACCUCCAAAAAUGCAGGUAUACCCGGAUUGAGCGUUCUGAAAGAUUAGUUUAGUGCAGAAAACUAGAUCGAUGCAGGAACGCAUCUACACCAAACGCGUUCGGUGCAGAAAACGCCAAGCCUCCUUCGGUGCAGUAGUCUAGCUUGACCCAAUCAUAUUCUUUACGCAUAUGCUUCUAGGGCAUGAUAAGGGUGCAGCCCUUAACUUGUUGGGAUUCUUCCUCUCCUCGCCAAACGCGUAGGCCCCAGGCAGUCGCUGGAACCGCAUUGUGUCGCAAAGGAACCAGUGCUUGUGGAAAACCACAGGUCCACUAAGUCAACUUUGACAGCAUGGUCUCAGAGAGUGGUGAAACGAAAUGGGCCAUGAACGUCAACAGGGUGAAAUGACACACUUGUUUCACACGCUGGUCAGGGGCCUUUUGAGAGAGUAGCAAAAGCUUGAUUGGGCUUGUGAGCCUGACUUGUAUCCAUCCAAGGCCGGCGUGAGAUGCUUUGGGUGCCCAAGACUAGGGAGGCGUUGCGGGCAUCUGUUUUUCCGAGAGUACGAAGGGAUGAGGUUGCUGCAGUAGUGUGACUAGCAAAUCAACGUAGCCGUACAUGUGUAUAGAUUAAUUCCUGAGUUCAAGUAUGAAAUCAAUGAAAAGCUAACAUUUUCAAUGACUGAAGACUAUGUUGACUAAAUAUUGACUUUUAGCGAAGUUCUACUGUCAAACUAUUUGCUUAAUUAGACUCACGCUUCUGAAUUGUACAGAUCAAGAAGAAAUCCUACCUUUGGCUUUGCAAGAUGGCAUGCCCCAAGUUGAAUGCCAGUGCCAAUCUCAAGCGAUCCAAAGCACCAGGCUCUGCAGUGUCUCAGGGGAGCAAAGGGCCGCCUUAACCUUAAUCAAGUAACAGUUGUGGAAGAGAGAGCACCACAUCUAGCAUGUGGCUUGUGGCAGCCAAGCAUUUAUAAUGACAUUGUUUUUUGAUCCUUUGAUGUUAGCUUUUCUUAUCAUUGUGAAGUAAAAUUCACCAAGUCACCCACCAAUAGAGAAUGUGAGUUGGGUUUAAAUCGUCAAGAGACAUACUAAUGAGCUGUGCUGUAAUAAUAAUUCAACUUAGUAUGAAAGAUUUGCACAAUUGGUAAUUCGGCUUGGUUGAAAAACCAGUGGCGCGAAGCUACCAUGUGUGGGAUUACGACUGAACGCCUCUAAGUCAGAAAGGAUGUCGUUCUCUAGCCAGUCCCUGGCGAGGAAGAGUUCCUGGAGGCAGCAGAGUAGAGUGUUUGUUUCGGACUCUCUAACCAGCACUUGCUCCGGCCAUUCCAGCAGCUCCACCUGAUCGAUCGGAAGUUUAGAGUGUAAACGAGAUGUGAGAACAGCUCCAUAUCGAUUCUUGGAGCAAGGACAGCCAGAAUUUACAUGGAAAGGUUCCAGAUUUUAGAAGCUGCAAGCCAGGGUUUUAGCGAGGAAGAAGAAGGAACGGAUUGGUAAAGUAAUCACCGCUACUCUGCCAAGUGCAGCGAGGUUUUCGGUGUAGGAAGCCUCCCUACGACGCAGAUCUCUAAUGUUUUGCAACGCUGCCUUGAAGCUCUUGUACCUACGUCAAGUUAGAAGUGAGCUCCGGAUAGUUUCGCAGCUGUAUAAAGGGAGUACCUUGCUAGGAACGACUGGCCUUGAUGCUUCGUUGCUCCCGAGCCAAGGAUGUCACAGCCUCAAAAUGCUGGCACGGGAAAAGAGCGUUAAAAGUGUACGUGUAUCAAAUAUAACGUAAGACUGCUACCUCGAGAUUAUCCAGAUUAUCAGCUUCACCAGACGUUAUUGUGUUCAAAAGCUAUCCGCAAGAUCAGAAAGCCUCUGCUCGUCUCGGGCCAAUUGAAGCCACAUUAUCCUUUGGCCCUUCUUUCCAUGCUUUAAACUAUGAACAGAAGACAUAAAACACAGGUGAGAACCCCAAGCCUGGAAAGGAAGAGGAUACUAAACCCUGGCGAUGGCUGUGCUCACGGUAUCAAGUUCAUAGAGGCGGCAUACCUCUAGUGCCUGUUGCACAAAAUUCACAUUGAGAUUCAAGAAAACGUCACACCAAGACCAACCUUCAAUGCCAGUUUCUGAUUGGAACAUCUCUGCUUCAUUAGGAGAGCUUCAAGCAUUCCCAGGCCUUGCUUUGGGCAAGCCGCGAGGUAAACAGGUGCUAGCUGAGAUAAUUGUUAGACAGACAUCAAGAAGGAGGACAGUACUUGAGAAUAAACCAAACGAUGGAGUUCUGUCAAGGUCUUCUUCAAGAAGAGAUCGAACGUCCUCCCCUUUUGCUAUCAGGAGAUCAUCAACAUGCGCCAUCAUCCUGAUAGAAAAUUUAUAUAAAUAUUCGACAUGAGAAGUUCUUACCACUGUGACGGGGAAGAGCAUUUACCUCGGUGUCGUUGCUGAUAAUUGCAGAUAAAAGUUCUUGAAGGUCUUCGUCCCCAGAACUUUUCAAUCCUUUGCACUUGGAAGCUAUGCUACGCAUUCCAUCUAAGACCUGCACCUGAUAAUUGCAAAGUGAACUUAGCACACUACACAGUUCAUACAUGCCAAAGAAAAAGGUAUCAGAUGUAGGAAAUGCGCCACCACCAGCUCCAUCCAGUGAAACGUAGAGAGCUGUAGAACAUCAACGUUUCCCAAUAGCACCUGUAUUAGCUUUUGAAGACCAAGAAGCGUCCCACGGUGGUUGCAUUCCGCCCAAAACACACUAUUUUCAAGCUUGGAAACCUGACUUUGCCAUUUUUCCCUCGCCUGCAUGUAAUAAAAUCUAAGAAACUUGCUGCAACCACAUCAAACCUUAGAAAAGUCAGGCUUAAAACCUAUAGCAACACCAGGAAUUCCAUCAGGGAGCCUCGGGCGCAGCCGUGGCAUUUGCAUAAUGAGCAGUGUAACUGCUUCUAUGAGGCCAUUUUCAGUCUGCCAAGACAUAAAAAAGCAUCCAGAAGUUAACGCAAGUCAACAAAACAGCAUGGAGAAAGAAACCUGCCGGUGAUCGCAUUAAACACAAUAAUAGGAUCAAUACUCUUCACGGUAAUGUCGUUUUAUGUUUUGUUUUCUUCCUGCAGAUGUUUGGAGGUGUCGGAAUGGCAACAUUACCACUGAGCCUCGUAUUUGUGUUCAAGAAUAGGCCCAAGUGUUAUUACUCGUGCUCAAUACGUAAAGGUGUGUGGACGAGGAGGAUGAGCGAGUCUACGUCGCCGAUGCAUCGCGGGCAGGAAUGUACGGUAGUUUAUCAUGCCCUAAAAGCAUAUGCGUAAAGAAUAUGAAACGAUGUAUGAUUUUUUUCAAAGUCAUGUAUGAUUUUUUUCAAAGUCAUGUAGACUACUGUACCGAAGGAGGCUUGGCGUUUUCUGCACCGAACGCGUUUGGUGUAAAUGCGUUUCCUGCACCGAACUCGUGUUCUGCACUAAACUAAUUCAUCAGAACGCUCAAUCCACCUAAUCACGUUUUGUUUUUAGACCGGGUAUACUGCAUUUUUGAAGGUAUAUGUACGACAAAGUCAUGCAGCACGUGCUGCGAUGAGUCAAGCUAUACUUCAUUUUGGUAUAAACAUGUUUUCUGCACUAAACUACCUCAUUUACCCCAUUAUAAAAAUUGAGUCUUCUUCUGGUGUACAUACCUCUUCUCAAGGUGAGCUGCAAUGGCAACCAUGGCGACAAUGAAGGGAGCCUUCGGUUCAUUGAAGGAGAUUGGUGACAUUGUGGGGAAUUUUGAUUUCAGCAAGGUAAAGUGGGACCUGUCUUGCCCAAAGCAGUGCUUAACUCCUUGUGGAAUGCUCCAGAUUGAUGUGCGUUCCAAGAGUGCUGAGGAUUACCUCCACACCAACCUGGCACCAUCGUUUGGGGCAUUGAAUGCAGAAACAGUGAAGAAGAUGGAUGAGGUUCUCAAGGUUUGCAUCUCGGGAACCACCACUCUUCUCGCCAAAGUGCCACCCGAAGAGCGAACUUGGGAGAAGGUCAACUCCAUGUUCAUGCAAAACCCCCUGGUUGAGCCAAUGGGCGAUGGGAUUAGCAGAGCUGACAAGUUUCUCAACAAAAGCUCUAACGACUUCAAGUUUGACGGGUCACCGGAUGCAGCUAUUGUGAAAGCGGUAAUAGAAGUUAUGUAUUAUAGAAUCUAUUAACCUUUGCGGCCUUCUCUCGUCACAGGUUCACACCUGGUUUGUGAAUCUCAUUGCAGAUGAGGACGUCCUGAAAUCAACCAAGAUCGACAUUAAAGUUCUUGGGCGCAUUGUUGCUCAGUCAGGGGCGACCAUUAACAGCUUUGAAACUUUCUUUGCCAAGCAUGAGCACCACGAGAAGACCAUAAUUGACAUUGGGGUCUUAAGGUACCCUGAUAUGCAAAACCCGUACUUCAAGGUUUGUGCCCAGGCUGCCCUUUGUAUUUCAGUCACAGCUCGUGUAUUUGAGCAGGUGUACCGCAUCAAACUCUUUGCUUGGUCUGAUAGCAACCGUAUUCUGUUCCAUCAGGAGGAUUCCAAUGGCAUCACUGGAGGUGAGGUGUCUAAUGUAAACCACUGAAAAUUGCACGGUCCUUUUGUUCUAUUUGCAGAGUUCACCUUCCGUAAGUUUAAGCCACGCAAGGAGGUCAUUGACAAGAUGAACCCAG